rnacentral:rRNA from 1 species
GUGAACGCUGGCGGUAGGCCUAACACAUGCAAGUCGAACGGCAGCACAGUAAGAGCUUGCUCUUACGGGUGGCGAGUGGCGGACGGGUGAGGAAUACAUCGGAAUCUACUUUUUCGUGGGGGAUAACGUAGGGAAACUUACGCUAAUACCGCAUACGACCUACGGGUGAAAGCAGGGGAUCUUCGGACCUUGCGCGAUUGAAUGAGCCGAUGUCGGAUUAGCUAGUUGGCGGGGUAAAGGCCCACCAAGGCGACGAUCCGUAGCUGGUCUGAGAGGAUGAUCAGCCACACUGGAACUGAGACACGGUCCAGACUCCUACGGGAGGCAGCAGUGGGGAAUAUUGGACAAUGGGCGCAAGCCUGAUCCAGCCAUACCGCGUGGGUGAAGAAGGCCUUCGGGUUGUAAAGCCCUUUUGUUGGGAAAGAAAAGCAGCAGGUUAAUACCCCGCUGUCCUGACGGUACCCAAAGAAUAAGCACCGGCUAACUUCGUG